GCUGUUAUUAGUUGCACUGACUUGGAUAACAAUGGACACUGUGUUUAUAAAGUUACUGGUGAGGAUGGGGUGCAACAUCGUAUGAGCAGGACAUUUGAAGAUGAAUUGUCGUGCUCGGGUUGUAAAUUUCAAAGAGAGGGGUAUUUGUGCAGGCACAGUCUAAAAAUCCUUAAAGACUGCAUGUUUGUGAAUGAGUUGCCUUCGCGAUAUAUAAUAAAUAGGUGGACUAAAAAUAUUAGAGAUGGCAGGUUGGAGGAAAUUGUUUCCACUGACGUGACUCCGGAUCCUCAACUUGAGAUUAGGCGACGGCAUAGGACGCUUUGCCGUAUACUGACUGAAAUAUCUUCCAUUGCAUCGCAUGACCCCGAAGGAUAUAAUGAUCUAUUAGAAAAAGCACUGGACUAGAAAAGAACAGUACAAAUAACCUGUGGUUGUAGGUUUGCAGAGAAAAUUGCAAAGAGUAAUGGAAAAAAAAGGGUGAAAAGCAACAGUGAACAAUUCCCAUGUCCCUGAAAGUUAAAGAUACCUCUAAAUGACGAUUUAAGAGGAUGAAACCAGCUAUAGAGUUAAAUAGUGAGAAAAGGAGGAAGUCAACGAAAGCAACAAGCCAGGUAUAUGUUACUAUCGCACGUACUGAUAUUUCAUUGUUUAACUAUUUGAACAUGCGAACAAAAUAAAUUCAAGUGCAUAACACUAUAUCCUUCGUCAUAAAACACUCGUGAGUGGAAGAAACUAACAUUUUUUUUUUUUUUUGUUUGAGAUAUCAAAUGAAACCGUUGUUUUGGGGGACACCGGUGGUAGCGAUAGUCCGUCAACCCCGUCAUACGUGUUAGUGAAUGUGAGUAUUAUUGCAACUAUAUUAUAUAUAAGCAUUUACUAUUCAUUCAUGAUUGUUGGUUAACAUGUUGAUGAUGUUGAAAAGUGCAUUGACAGUGUUUAUAUGAAAUAUUUUAGGGUGCAGAAAUUCCCAUCGAAUUUCUCAAUGAAGAAUCUUAUGUAACACCACCAGCUGUAUUCCACAACAGACAGCUUAAUAUUUGUGAACCAUGUACUUCAUCAACUAACCAUGCUGAUAUUGGCGAUCCAGCCAUGUUGUCAUCUCAACUGUUCAGUACGCCCUCUUCAUACGAUGAAUCAAGUGCUCAUCGUUUGGGAGGUGAUGAGACACCUAGGCAAGCACAUGUGAUGCCAACAUCUGGAAUGACAAUGACGUUGGGGAUGAAUCAUCCAAUUCAGCAUCGACUCUUUCAUAUUGAGAAGAAACUUGUGAUGCAAUUGACUUAUCAUUGAUUGUGUGUAUCCUUGUAAUCUUUUGGACAUCUUGUACAAAGUUUAUGGCCUACUUUGGCUGCCCUUGUUACCUUUAGCUGUCAUAUAAUUGACCUUGUAUUCAUUGUGUGCAUGCUUGUAACAUGUUCCACAUAUUGAGUAUCACCAUAUUUU